CUAAUACAUGACAGUUGAGCGCUGAAGGUUGGUACUUGUACCGACUGGAUGAGCAGCGAACGGGUGAGUAACGCGUGGGGAAUCUGCCUUUGAGCGGGGGACAACAUUUGGAAACGAAUGCUAAUACCGCAUAAAAACUUUAAACACAAGUUUUAAGUUUGAAAGAUGCAAUUGCAUCACUCAAAGAUGAUCCCGCGUUGUAUUAGCUAGUUGGUGAGGUAAAGGCUCACCAAGGCGAUGAUACAUAGCCGACCUGAGAGGGUGAUCGGCCACAUUGGGACUGAGACACGGCCCAAACUCCUACGGGAGGCAGCAGUAGGGAAUCUUCGGCAAUGGACGAAAGUCUGACCGAGCAACGCCGCGUGAGUGAAGAAGGUUUUCGGAUCGUAAAACCCUCUUGGU
rnacentral:rRNA from 1 species